CUUCAAACAGAUUUUUGAGGCAUUCAUUCAAUUUAGGCAGCAAAGUUAGUAGCCUACUUCUCUUAAAGAAUUUCUCUAAACCGCCAUAAUUCCUGAGCUGACCUCGGGAAAUUCGCAUCUACACCAGCGAGCGGCGCUUACAGGAGGACCGCACGCCCCCAUAUCUCCUCUACUCUCCCAUCCUAGUAAAGAAAUGAGAAAAAGAAAGAGGGAGGAGAGGGAAGACGGCUGGGACGGGUGCCUCAUUUAAAUGUCUUUUCUUAGUUCCUGGGAGUUAGCAAUAUGGUGUGUGGCGCUAACUCCCUGAGGUAGUCUAAUGUUAUUAUCGGAUUAGCGGGAAAAGCACCGAAGCUGGACAAUAUUUACUACAGAUGGAGAUGUUUUCAGUUUACCCCGACGGAAACUGUUUGCGCAGACUUAAUUGAUAAGCCACACUGCAUUGGCAUUUUAAGAAAAAUUUUACCGGUUUGACCCCGCCGAUUACACAAACAUCCCCCGGGGAAUCGGCUUAUGCAGGCCCUUGUCAAAGCGAAGGGACGUUUUCCAGCUUGAUCGGAGUCGCCAGACCCACACGGACGGGCUAAACGCGACUAUUUCUUGAUCCGGAAAAGAUGCAAUUCUCCUGGGCGACCUAAACAAAGGUUCAAGUUACAGCUUCAAAGCGGAAAAAGUCCACAUACUUCGGGUGGAAGAACAUUUGGGAGUGUGUGACCUGGCUUACGGCAACAAAUCAAAACAUUGGUGUUUUGGAAAUCUGAGCCCACUGUGGGGACCGAGGGAAAGUAACUGUCUUCUGCAAAGGACGGGAGGAAAGGAAGCUGCGCUCCCCACAGAAGAGAAGUACACGCACACACUCUCUCACACAUACACUGACACAUACACAUUCACACACACUCUCUCACACACACACUGACACAUACACACUCACACACUGACACACAAACUCUCACACACUCACACACACUCUCACACACUCACACAUACACACUCACACACACUCUCUCCUACACACACUCACUGACACACACACUCUCUCACACACUCACACAUACACAUUCACACACACUCUCUCACACUGACACACACACUCUCUCACACUCACACGCGCGCACACACUCUCACAUACUGACACACACACUCUCUCACACACACACGCGUGCACACACACUCACCUUCCUGAGCUGUCAUGU